AAGGGAGAGAGGAGGGGGAAAGAAGAGGGAAAGGGAACUAGAGAGACCCAGAUGCAGACACAGGAGGCAGAUGGUUGGUGUCUUACAAUGUUUAUUCAUCCAAAGGGGAAGGCAAGAGAAUGGUCGUGGACAGGCAAACAGGUCAAAACCAGAUCAGAGUCCAGGAGGUACAGAGUGGCAGACAGGCUCGUGGUCAAGGCAGGCAGAAUGGUCAGGCAGGCGGGUACAAAGUCCAGAAACAGGCAAGGGUGAAGACCGGGAGGACUAGAAGCAGGAGAAUGGGAAAACCGCUGAUUGACUUGGAAACAUACAAGACGAACUGGCACAGAGAAACAGGAAACACAGGGAUAAAUACACCGGGGAAAACAAACGACACCUGGAGGGUGGUGGAGACAAUAACGAGGACAGGUGAAACUGAUCAGGGUGUGACACGGGGAGAGGAGAGAGAGAGAGAGAGAGAGAGAGAGAGAGAGAGAGAGAGAGAGAGAGAGAGAGAGAGAGAGAGAGAGAAAGGGCAGGAGAUGGAGAAAGGGAAUUAGAGAGAUGGGGAGAGGAGAAAGAGAGAGGAGAGAGAACUGAUUGGAUUUUAAUACUUCAAGUGGGAUAUAAUGGUCCACUGGGCUCUGAAUAUGUCAGGAAUGAGUAGUGAGCUCAUUUAAAAAAGGACCAAAACCAAAACACCAUAUAUUUGUAAGUAUGUGUGUCAAGUUUCAAGUUUUAAUCACAUACAGAACUACAGUGAAAAGCCUUUCUUGCCAGCUCUAACCCCAACAAUGCAGUAAUCAACAACACCGUAAUAGUAAAAAUAAUCAGGUAGAACAAAAACACACAAGAUAAAGAAAUAAGAAAUAAGAAGAACACUAAAGCAUCCGAAUUUGUCUCAUUUCCGCAUCUGCGGUGAAAGGUGACAGACCUAGAGCGGAGUUUGUCAGACCGUGAGACACCAUGAGACAUCCCGUUUUGCUCUACGACCUCCACUAGUGUCAGGAGACUCAUCUGAUCUGCCAACUUCUCUCUGUAGCGUCUGAACCGUUUGGGCAACACACUAAUAGUCCACCUGGUUGUGCUGCUGCUCCAGUUUCAACAGUUCUGCCUGCGGGUAUGAAACCCUCACCUGUUCCCCGGACGUGCUACCUUGUCCCGGACCGUUUGAACAUCUUGAAGAACAAUAUGACCUUAAUGGCCAUGUACUCUUUUAAUCUCCACUUGACACAGCCAGAAGAGGACUGGCCACCCCUCAGAGCCUGGUUCCUCUCUAGGUUACUUCCUUGGUUCCCACCUUUCUAGGGAGUUUUUCCUAGCCACCGUGCUUCUACAUCUGCAUUGCUUGCUGUUUUGGGGUUUAGGCUGGGUUUCUGAAGAAGCUCUUUGUGUCAUCUGCUAAUGUAAAAAGGGCUUUAUAAAUACAUUUGACUGAUUGAUGUGCCGAUCUUGUUUCCAUGUGGUCGUGGUCCCUGCAGCAUGUUUAAUAGAUGUUCCACUGCCUGGUGUGUGUGUGUGUGUGUGUGUGUGUCCGUCUUGUCCGUGUGUGGUUUCACAGUUAUGGUGGGAGAGACUAGGACGUGUCCUGGUGUCACACAUGGCUGACAGAAUACAUACUGUGGUCUAAUAGCAUUGUGUCAUUCAUAGAUUAAUUCACUCAGAGAGAGAGAGAGCGAGAGAGCGAGAGAGUGAGAGUGUGAGCGAGAGAGGGAGAGAAAGAAUGAGAGGUAGAGAAUUAGGGAAAGAGAGAGAUAGGCAUGGAGAGAGAGAGAGAAAGAAAAAGAGAGAGAAAGUGAGAGUUAGAAAGAAAGAAAGAAAGAAAGAAAGAAAGAAAGAAAGAAAGAAAGAAAGAAAGAAAGAAAGAAAGAUAGAUAGAGAGUUAGGGAAAGAGAGAGAUUGGCAUGGAGAGAGAGAGAAAGAGAAAGAAAGAAAAAUAAAGAUAAUUAAGGAAAGAUAGGGAUGAGAUAGAGAGAGAAAGAAAGAGAGAGAGAGUUGGGAAAUAAAGAAAGAAAGAAAGAAAAAGAGAGAGUUGGGAAAGAGGGAGAUAGGGAUGGAGAGAGAGAGAGAGAAAGAAAGAAAGAAAGAAAGAAAGAAAGAAAGAAAGAAAGAAAGAAAGAAAGAAAGAGAGAUAUAAAUAUAUAUAUAUAUGUCAUAUUCCUAGAGCUGCAUUUCCUAUUACACUGUGACAAAUAUUCAGAUCUAAGAGAAUGUUUCUUUCCCAACAUUAUCAUUCAGUACAAAUCAUUUUAAACUAUUAAAAUCUAAUAUGUAUUGGGUGAAAAGCCAAAAUGUGCAGUUUUGGCAGCCAAAUAUGUGUCUUCCUGCCACAACCUGAGGGACAGACAGUGAAAAGUGCAAUGUAAUGUCAAUAAUAUUUCUAAUUUAUUUUUGUUUUGGCUUUCAUACGAUGUCAUGUGUCUUCUCAGUCAGGUUGAGACUGGUCUACUACUAUUGCUUUAAUGUGUUAUUAUUGUCAUUAAUAUUGUUGUCACAGUUGCUGUUAAUGCUAAUCUCAUUUCAUCUACUACUAUUAUUAUUGCUCUUGGUCCCACCAUUUGUGUUAUUUGUAUACUUUGACAAGUAAUUUAAC
rnacentral:lncRNA from 1 species